rnacentral:snoRNA from 1 species
AUUCCAUGACGGGGACAUUCUAGGAUAUAGUCUUAGAAGCGCUUCCAUGGUUGUGGAACGGAUUCAUCAUGUUAUUGCUGAAAACUCGUAAUCUUUCCUUAGAGAGG